rnacentral:ncRNA from 1 species
GCGAUUGCGGGAGGCUACGACGCGCGAACCUUCCUGCGGACGCCCGGUUCGCGCUGAGCCACUGGCGAGACCGACCCGCACCUGG